AGUGAACGCUGGCGGUAGGCCUAACACAUGCAAGUCGAACGGCAGCACAGUAAGAGCUUGCUCUUACGGGUGGCGAGUGGCGGACGGGUGAGGAAUACAUCGGAAUCUACUCUUUCGUGGGGGAUAACGUAGGGAAACUUACGCUAAUACCGCAUACGACCUACGGGUGAAAGCAGGGGAUCUUCGGACCUUGCGCGAUUGAAUGAGCCGCUGUCGGAUUAGCUAGUUGGCGGGGUAAAGGCCCACCAAGGCGACGAUCCGUAGCUGGUAUGAGAGGAUGAUCGGCCACACUGGAACUGAGACACGGUCCAGACUCCUACGGGAGGCAGCAGUGGGGAAUAUUGGACAAAGGGCGCAAGCCUGAUCCAGCCAUACCGCGUGGGUGAAGAAGGCCUUCGGGUUGUAAAGCCCUUUUGUUGGGAAAGAAAAGCAGCAGGUUAAUACCCCGCUGUUCUGACGGUACCCAAAGAAUAAGCACCGGCUAACUUCGUG
rnacentral:rRNA from 1 species